rnacentral:misc_RNA from 1 species
CAAUCGCUGACAAGGCUGUUGUGUCUCCUCCCAGGAGUUUUCGGCUCAUUGCACAUUCGCGACCGUUUCUUCCAUUUUAGUUUCCGUUUACUUUGUUUCAUUGCCCUGGGGAUUCAGCUAUGGGAGCUGGUGCCUCUCGCCAACGGCGCUGGAAGAUAAAGUCCUCCAUAGGGAACGCCGAUCCGUGCUCUACGUCGCCGCCCGUCGAGGUCUUGACCGCAUGUGAGAGCUGUGAGAGUUUGAGGCAGAAUGUGAGUGCCUCUUCGAUUGGCGAUGCCAAGCUAAACUCGCGCAGGCGGGAUAUGGACUGUUGGAACACGCGAAGGGACUCUAAGGAGUUCCAACAUGAAGUAGUCGAGACGGACAGCCUACAGGCCAACUGCGGAGCGCCGAAUGAGCAGGCUUUUCACGAUACGCUUGUGAGUGCCGCCCACCAGUUGCGGGCCCGCCAGCGCGAUGCGAAUGUGAGCAUCUCGAAGGCGGAGAUGGAGGGCCUGGUAGUUCUCACGCGCGAGCUGGAGAACCUCAAGCAGAUGAUGAAGCGUUCGGAGUUCACGGUGGAGGGAACGUGGAGGAUCUUAGAGGAUGAGGGAAUGGUGGAGCGCUUUGGCCAGCAGUUGUACGAUGAGCUGCUCACCCGAAAUCCGCGUCUGCGCGUCUACUUUCACGGCGUCGACAUCAAAGAGCAGUCCAAGUCCUUGCUGCGCAUGGUCGGUACAGCGGUGCACUUCUACCAGAAGCCGCAGUUGACAGUGGACAUGUUCACCAAGGCUGGCGCAAGGCACCGUGGCUACGGCGUGAACGCAGAGGUAUUCGUGGAAAUGAGCAACGCCUUCAUGCGGGUAUUCUCGAAAUUUGUCGGCACAGACGUCUUUCAGGCGGCCGAAGAGGAGUGGCGAAAGUUCUGGAAGUACGUUCUAGAUCUGCUCGUGCACGGAAGCGAGAGCCCGGAGGGGGAGCGGUAUGGAAAGGUGUACGAAGAGAAGAUGCUCAAAAAGAUACAGUCCGAUUUCAAGCUCAUCAUGGAGCGGCAAAACAGAUGCGACCUGCGGCGCCAAUUUGUGAGCGUGAUGUACAGUAAAGCCAUCGAGAUGCACGAGGAGUUGUCAAAGUUCGAAGCACUAAAGGAUCUGCGUGCUAGUGCACGCGUCUUGCAGUCAUACAUCGACGUAAUUAACAACAUCCAUGACAGGAAGCUUUUGGACGAGUACAUGCGCGAGCUUGGCGGGCGCCACACAGCCUACAACGUGACGGUGGAGAACCUACACGCCUUUACCGAGCCGUUCCUCUUCACCUGCCGCCACUUUUUGGAGGAUGAGUGGAAUAUCGCGGUUGAGUCGCGUUUUCUGUGGCUGUUUGAGUACAUGAUCGACGGCAUUUCGGCCGGUAUGGUGAGCGACAUCAACAGCAUCGUAAACUUGCGCGCUCCCAGCAACAGCGUUUCUUUUGGGCUGAUUUUCACCGAUAUUGAGGCAAGUACAAGGCUGUGGAGCAAGGACUCGCAGUCGAUGAGCCUUGCGGUGAAGAGCCAUCACGCCAUGAUCCGGCGCCUUAUCGCUGACUACGGCGCUUAUGAGGUCAAGACGGUCGGCGACUCCUUCAUCAUCGCCACCAAGGAUGUACUGGUGGCGGUGAAGCUGUCGCUGUCCAUUCAGCUAGAGCUGAUGCGGAUGGCGCCGAUUGCUCCAGGAUUUGCGAUGGUUGACAGUUCCGAGGGCCACGGUGAUCCGCAGGCCUGGGAUGACCGCACGCUGCGCGUGCGGAUCGGCGUAGAGCACUGCACGGAUGCCACGGCCACUUAUGACACCAUUCACCGGCGCUACGAUUACUACGGGGCUAGCGUAAAUCGCUGCGCCCGAAUCGAGUCUGCAGCGUGUGGAGGGCAGAUAUUACUCUCUCGUGAGAGUUUUGAGCAUCUCAAGUCCAUCCCCGAGUUCCAUGACGAGCCUUGCCCCUACCUCUUCCGCAGCGUUGAGAUCGCCACUCCACCCCCAAAGGAGGAUAGCCGUGGUUUGGACCACUUCGUGGUAGUGAGCGAUGUCGGCCUGGCGUCCUUCAAAGGCAUAGCUGAGCCAGUGCACCUUGUCUCGUUGGUGCCGCGCUGUCUCGCUGGGCGGCAGUUUACGGAAAAGUUUACCAAGGUAGCGGAAUAAAUUUGUACCCCUGCCACCCAGCGCGCUACUCUCGGCUCUCUCGAAGUCUAGGGGAUUGGUGCGUGUCUCUCUUCUCUGGUACUCUUCUGUUGUCCUUGAUGACGUGGGCGGGGGCACCUGGGGGCGUGGUAUGAGGGCCCAGCCCCCGCUCUGUGAGGAAGCCAAGCAGCCCCCCUACCCUCGCCAACGCCGAACCACUGCCGGCCGUGACCGGGCCGUGUGCCUGCGAUGUGUGGGGAAGUGAGAGCGAUGUAUCGCUGAUGAAAUGCUGACGACCAGGUCCUGAACGGCGUUGCGUCGAAGAGAACCGCGGUAGUGGACACACGUGUGCCACUCAUAUGAUUAGGCAGAGUGUCAGCGGGACUCGACCUAAUUGCACCCAUACCUCACUUCCUACUGGUGCUGGGACCUGGGCGUCACCGCGAGGGGGCGCACUAAGUGGCGGCCGGCAUAAUGGGAGCGGCUUUGAGGCGACUUGCGUGCCAGUGGUGGGUGAGUAUCGUUUGAGGCAGAGGCCGUGCUCUUCGAUGAUUGAGUCGGCGCACUGCUGUAACGCGUGUGCCCACGACCGCUUCGCACGACGCGAUGGGGCGUGUGACAGGCCUGGGUAGAGCUGAGUUGAAUCGCUGCUGUAUGGCAGAGAGUGGGCAUGUUGAACAAAAGACAAUGUAUCAUUUCAUGUUUGGCAGCCCCUUACUCCGCACUGG